rnacentral:rRNA from 1 species
UAUAGUUCUUCGGAACUAGAGACCGGCGCACGGGUGCGUAACGCGUAUGCAAUCUACCUUUUACAGAGGGAUAGCCCAGAGAAAUUUGGAUUAAUACCUCAUAGUAUUAUGAAAUGGCAUCAUUUUAUAAUUAAAGUCACUACGGUAAAAGAUGAGCAUGCGUCCCAUUAGCUAGUUGGUAAGGUAACGGCUUACCAAGGCUACGAUGGGUAGGGGUCCUGAAAGGGAGAUCCCCCACACUGGUACUGAAACACGGACCAAACUCCUACGGGAGGCAGCAGUGAGGAAUAUUGGACAAUGGGCGCAAGCCUGAUCCAGCCAUGCCGCGUGCAGGAUGACGGUCCUAUGGAUUGUAAACUGCUUUUAUACGAGAAGAAACACUGAUUCGUGAAUCAGCUUGACGGUAUCGUAAGAAUAAGGAUCGGCUAACUCCGUGCCAGCAGCCGCGGUAAUACGGAGGAUCCAAGCGUUAUCCGGAAUCAUUGGGUUUAAAGGGUCCGUAGGCGGUUUAAUAAGUCAGUGGUGAAAGCCCAUCGCUCAACGGUGGAACGGCCAUUGAUACUGUUAGACUUGAAUUAUUAGGGAAGUAACUAGAAUAUGUAGUGUAGCGGUGAAAUGCUUAGGAGAUUACAUGGAAUACCAAUUGCGAAGGCAGGUUACUACUAAUGGAUUGACGCUGAUGGACGAAAGCGUGGGUAGCGAACAGGAUUAGAUACCCUGGUAGUCCACGCCGUAAACGAUGGAUACUAGCUGUUGGAAGCAAUUUCAGUGGCUAAGCGAAAGUGAUAAGUAUCCCACCCCUGGGGAGUACGUUCGCAAGAAUGAAACUCAAAGGAAUUGACGGGGGCCCGCACAAGCGGUGGAGCAUGUGGUUUAAUUGGAUGAUACGCGAGGAACCUUACCAAGGCUUAAAUGUAGUUUGACCGGUUUGGAAACAGAUCUUUCGCAAGACAAAUUACAAGGUGGUGCAUGGUUGUCGUCAGCUCGUGCCGUGAGGUGUCAGGUUAAGUCCUAUAACGAGCGCAACCCCUGUUGUUAGUUGCCAGCGAGUCAUGUCGGGAACUCUAACAAGACUGCCAGUGCAAACUGUGAGGAAGGUGGGGAUGACGUCAAAUCAUCACGGCCCUUACGCCUUGGGUUACACACGUGCUACAAUGGCCGGUACAGAGAGCAGCCACUGGGCGACCAGGAGCGAAUCUAUAAAACCGGUCACAGUUCGGAUCGGAGUCUGCAACUCGACUCCGUGAAGCUGGAAUCGCUAGUAAUCGGAUAUCAGCCAUGAUCCGGUGAAUACGUUCCCGGGCCUUGUACACACCGCCCGUCAAGCCAUGGAAGCUGGGGGUGCCUGAAGUCGGUGACCG